rnacentral:rRNA from 1 species
AUUGAACGCUGGCGGCAUGCCUUACACAUGCAAGUCGAACGGUAACAGGUUAAGCUGACGAGUGGCGAACGGGUGAGUAAUGUAUCGGAACGUGCCCAGUCGUGGGGGAUAACUGCUCGAAAGAGCAGCUAAUACCGCAUACGACCUGAGGGUGAAAGCGGGGGAUCGCAAGACCUCGCGCGAUUGGAGCGGCCGAUGUCAGAUUAGGUAGUUGGUGAGGUAAAGGCUCACCAAGCCGACGAUCUGUAGCUGGUCUGAGAGGAUGACCAGCCACACUGGGACUGAGACACGGCCCAGACUCCUACGGGAGGCAGCAGUGGGGAAUUUUGGACAAUGGGCGCAAGCCUGAUCCAGCCAUGCCGCGUGCGGGAAGAAGGCCUUCGGGUUGUAAACCGCUUUUGUCAGGGAAGAAAAGGUUCUGGCUAAUACCUGGGACUCAUGACGGUACCUGAAGAAUAAGCACCGGCUAACUACGUG